UGGAGCAUGUGGUUUAAUUCGAAGCAACGCGAAGAACCUUACCAGGCCUUGACAUGCAGAGAACUUUCCAGAGAUGGAUUGGUGCCUUCGGGAACUCUGACACAGGUGCUGCACGGCUGUCGUCAGCUCGUGUCGUGAGAUGUUGGGUUAAGUCCCGUAACGAGCGCAACCCUUGUCCUUAGUUACCAGCACGUUAUGGUGGGCACUCUAAGGAGACUGCCGGUGACAAACCGGAGGAAGGUGGGGAUGACGUCAAGUCAUCAUGGCCCUUACGGCCUGGGCUACACACGUGCUACAAUGGUCGGUACAAAGGGUUGCCAAGCCGCGAGGUGGAGCUAAUCCCAUAAAACCGAUCGUAGUCCGGAUCGCAGUCUGCAACUCGACUGCGUGAAGUCGGAAUCGCUAGUAAUCGUGAAUCAGAAUGUCACGGUGAAUACGUUCCCGGGCCUU
rnacentral:rRNA from 1 species